rnacentral:lncRNA from 1 species
AUGACCUGCAGGGCCUCUGAGCCGCUCGGAGUCUCCCUUCCCAUCCGGGAUUGCCCUUGUCACACCUGUGCCAGCUCCAGCUCCAGCAUGGCUGCCAGACACAGAGAGCAGACACUGCCGCAAAGGUGCCUCGGGUUCACGGGGGAGAGAUGCCUGUCUGGUCUCUGCCAGCACCAGAAGGAAGACACAUCGGUCAGAGUAGGAGUUCAGCUAAGGACAGACCAGACCUUGGCCUGCUCUAGCUCCCAGGCGAGGCCUUCUUGGGGUUCUCCAGUAUUGGGAGCAAGUCAGAGCCUGGCUCUGGUGCCCAAGAGUGUGCCUGGUGCCCAGUGGGAGCUAUAGUUCUUAUUAUUUUGGGCACAGGGCUUCAUUCAGAAAGUGGAUGCGUGUAAUUAUAGCAAAGUUAUGAAUACUGUGAUCCUUUUCAUUUCUGUAACUAUGACUUCCAGACACCUGCUCCAUUCAAGAGAAAAAAAAAAAAUAGGUUUAGUUUGAAAAGUGCUUCUUCUGAAACGUGCAGUACCGAAUCUCUUCCGCUGAGGACGCGCCCCGAGGGAGGGCAGCGGCCGGGAGGGAAGGUGG